UUGUUAAAGGGUCAUUUCAUCCAAAUUUGCAUUAAACAUUUUCUCACUCCAGCAAUGCAUAGUUUUUGGUUUUAUUGGCUCAGUAGUCCCUAAAAAAAACUGUUAGAAUAUAUAUUUUUUUAAAUAUAAUGUUUCAAUGCUAUGAGUUCCAAA